rnacentral:misc_RNA from 1 species
GUCCCACUUGACUCUACAAAUGCUUCGAAGCGUUUGAUUGACCAAUCGAAACAAAGAUUUUUACGAAUUGACCAAUCAAAGAAUGCUUCGAAACGUUUGUAGCGUAACCUCCCAGCUUCCCACUGCCAUCAAUAGUCCUUUAUAUGUCAAUGGCGUAUAUGCUUUAUGUACUCGCGCGCAAACGGAGCAAAUUUCCACAUGUUUUUUUUACGUACGCAAACGUCAGGGUUUAGCUAACGCAUGAGAACUAUUUAGUGUAGAGAAAACGGUUUUUAUGCAAGAACGUUUACGGAUAUAGUGUGGUAAAAUGAGUAAAAAACGCAAUAGACAACCGGACGCAAAUCCCGAUGUCAGCGAAGCUUCCACUGAGUCCUGUGAGGAGGCAAGCGCAGGACGAUUGACGCCGGCAACCGUUCAGGGUUAUAGUAUAACUAACAAACAUCCCUCCCCCCCCAGUCUGGGAUUUUGGGCGGUGCUGUGGACGAAGCAGCAAGAAGAAGAAAUCGCUCUGGGGUCCAGAGACCCCUGUACAAAAUGUCCACACAUAGCAAAGGCUAUCAAUUUGAACAAAGUGAAGAAGAACAUAAAAAAGAUUGGUAUACUGAGUGAAUGUUCUAUGUGCAAAAAACUGGAAGCAGAUCUCAAGAUGGAAGAAAUUAGUGAUAUUUCGAAAUUACUGUGGAUCUGCCUGCAAUGUGGGGAGCAAGGCUGUGGUAAAGAACAGAAACAGCAUGCCAUUGAGCAUUAUAGGAAACCUCACAGCGACUGCCACUGCAUGGUGACAGAUUCUCACCAUUGGAGUGUUUGGUGCUACCAGUGUGAAAUUGAAGUUCAUCCUAACAGUAGGAAGAAGCUGCUGGAAAUUGUAGAGUUUAUCAAAAAGUGUGUCAAUAUACCACAAAUAUCUCAGCAAUCGAAAAUGCCAGCAAUUCAGUACCAAAAAGAACUAAUAGUUGAUGUACGGGAGAAAGAGAAACAUAGAAUAUUAAACAAUCUUCCUAAAGUUGGGGGUUUGGCAAAUCUAGGAAACACCUGUUUCUUCAAUGCUGUACUUCAGUGUUUAGCGCAAACACCUUAUUUAGUGAAGGUGCUGGAUGACUUACGUUUGCCCGGACAAAAAUUUGUCUUACCUGGUGGAAAACAUAAACCUGCCGAUGCUGAGGAUGAAGAAGAAUUGCCACCAAUUGAAGGGACCUUGGAACGGUGGGGCAGUUUUACAUCGAUUCUAUGUGAAACUCUGUCGAAAAUGCAAAACACCAGCGGCCAUCAAACUUAUACUCCUUUGAAUCUUCUCUGUAAGCUCAGGAAGAAGACUACGCAAUGUGUGGAUGGUGGACAACAUGAUUCACAUGAGUUUCUCCGACAUUUAUUAGAAAUAGUUCGAAAUGAGGAUCUCAGAAGGUACCAGAGCAUAAUUUUGAAGGAGGUUGGUCUAAGUGAAAAAACUAAACCGGAUUGCGUGGAAAAGGGCUUGAAAUCUCGCGUGAAAUUUUACGGCAAUCAGGCCAGCACACGAUUGCUGGGACCGGAAGCGGUAUUCCGUGGCGUGCUGGUAUCUACUCUGGAAUGCCUGGAUUGUCAUCACUCAUCGCAACGCACUGAGCCAUUCUUAGAUUUGAGUCUGCCCGUCAUGGCGGACAAGCCGCAACCUCCACAGUUGAAGAGAAAGAACAGUGAAUUUGAGGAUGCCUUUGAUAUGAUGAAUAUUCAGCAGCGUGACUAUCAAACUACCGAUACGUCAUGGAAACAAUUGAAGAAAGAGAAAAAAGCCGCCAGGAAAAAUCGAAAGAAUAAAAGGCAUGAAAACUAUAACAAUUCUAACGCGUUAACGGACCUGAAUAAUCCCACGGAAGAAAACAAUGAUAACAUAUUGAAGUCAGAAGAAAGCGACGCUGAUAUAGAAGAUAACAUCGAGGUGGACAAUUCUCAUCCAGAGAUUGGAGAGUCCGGUUAUAGCUCAGAGAAAGCAUCCGCCGUCACCAGUCCUGUGUCUCCCGCUGACCAUCAUCAUCAUCUGAACGACUUCAAUAGUGCUGUUAACCCGGAGGAUAAUCUAGAUAAUAAUUUGGACUCGGCACAAGUUAGACACCCAGGGAACAUUAACGCAUUAAUUAGCUCUAGUCCAACCAAUGUGUCGAUGACAGACUUGACUCAAAUCAAGAUCAGAAUGUCAUCUGAGAAGACUGACAGAAAUAUCGGCACGGUCAAUUCCGAGACUGAAGCGUCAGCCGCGGUAUUGACCGACUCCAUGAUUGUCAAUUCCGACGUCACAAGCCUUGAGGUACCCACUGUGAGUCUAAAUAGCUCCAUCGCUUCUAAGGAGAGUCCUACUAGCCCUAUCAACGACGAGGAAGUCACAGAAAGAUUAGACAGUGUUGAGGCAUGGAUGGCAACUGCUUUAACAAGGUACAAUAAAAAGAAGUAUAAUAAUGGAACUGUUAAUGGAGACGAUUGCAAAGAGCAAGACGCAUAUAAUGAGCUCGGUGAUAUAAUGAUGGGAAUGUCCAAAUUGGGAAUUGCUGGACAUCAGUCGCCUGGCAGGUACACAACCAAGGAGGACGAAUGUUCCAUAGAAUCGUGUUUGAAUCAAUUCACUGCGUUGGAGUUGAUGACGGGAAGCAAUAAAGUUGUGUGUGAAGCGUGCACAGCUCGCGAGAAGAAGAAUCAAGAAGGGUCGUCAAAAAUGAUAUGCACUUCGAGUACCAAACAAUACCUCGUCUCUCAAGUACCUCCGAUACUGAUAUUGCAUUUGAAGAGAUUCCAAACGCAGAGAGUCGGCUUUCGAAAAGUUUUCAAGCAUGUGUCGUUUCCGAUAUUACUGGAUUUGGCACCAGUUUGCAUAAAUCGCAAGAAACCUCGACUUUAUGCGCUUUAUGGAGUUGUCGAGCACAGUGGAACUGUACAUGGUGGUCACUACGUUGCUUAUGUCAAGACGAGACUACCAUUAUCAUCAGACGAUCCUCGGUGGAAAUUUCUGCCCAAGGACAAAGAUUCCAAAACGGAUAACGAAUCAAGUAGCUCAGAAUCGGAAGGAGAAGCAUCGGCAAAAACUGUAUCCGUCAUAGAACCGCCGCCUGGAAGAUGGUAUUAUGUAUCAGAUUCUCGGGUAUCAGAAGUAGAUGAAAGUACAGUGCUACAAAGUCAAGCGUAUCUCUUGUUCUACGAAAGAAUUCUCUGAUUUGAUGGACCGAAGCAGAAUGAAGAUCAACAUAAUUGCAUUUCCGAUUUUCGAGAAACAGAAAACAGACUUACAAUGAAUUUAUUAAUUCUAUAAUUUUUAGUAUCACAUCGCGCGUUAUCAGAUGUAUAUGUAAUUAAUUAUGUGUAUAUUGCAAGAAAUCUGUAAUCUAUUAGAACUAUUGAAAACUUAUUUUUUAUGAAAGUUGUUGUUUACGGUCGAUUAGCAGCACAUCGCGACAAUUAUCAUUAAAAAAUGUCCUUUUAUAAAUGUUUUACAAAAGUUUAACUCAAUUGUUAGAAAAUCUGAAUUUCAAACCUUAGAAUUUUCAGAUUUUUAGAAAUAUUUUUAGCAAUAUUAGUAAAAUUGAAAUUACUUGGCAAUGCUCUUUCCUUUGUAAAUUAUCCAUUGAAUAAUAUUCAUUGAAUAAUCCAUUGAAUAAACUUCAAUAUAAAACAAUAAAAUUAUUAGCAUAAUAAUAUGCUAAUAUUAUUAGUAUAUGUAAUAAUAAUUACAAGAUAGCGUAAUACUUAAGAAGAUUGUAUGAAUUUCAAUUCUUGUUUGAGUUCAUAGAAACACUAUGAGGAUAUGACACCAAAUAAAAAGAAAUUUUUUUUUAUGUAAUAAACAUACUUUUAUUACAAAUAGUUCCAGUUUAUAUUUAUUUUUUAAUAUUGAGUUUUAAUAUUUUAAAUAUUGAGUUAGUAUAAUAUACAUUUUAAAUGCUCGUUAUUUAAUUAAAAGACACGUGUGAAUUAAAAUGGUUGAACUUUUUAUACUAUGAAGCAAUAAAGUAUUAAAUGGAAGUCAAAUAAACAUACAAUAGAUCUGUCACAACUGCCUGGAAUCAAUUCAGUUUUCCCUAAAAUGUAUUGUACACAUAAAAAUAAGACUUAUGUAUUUUUUAUGAGAUCUGCAAAUAGAUAUAUAAUACAUAUAACGAAUAUACAUAAUAACAUUAUGUAUAAUACAUAAAAACGAAUAGAAAAAAAUUAGAUUUUGAUACAGUUCCUACUUUUUUGUAUUUUCAAAAUUUUAUUUCAGUUCUAUUACUUCUCCGGCUGAAACGUUUAAAAGUUGGUGAAAGGAGAAAUCCAUGUAGUUACGAUGUGAAAUUUGCUAUUGUAAACGCUUUAAAGUGUCUGUAGUGGAUCAUACUUAAAACGUUUUGAAGUAAGUGCAUUUAAUGGAUUGCAUUCUAAAGGCCAUUUCUCUUUAAGAAACUACCAUUAUAUUAUCCCCCUCCCCUGAAAAAAUUUAAUAUGUAUUUUUUAAUAAACGGUGAGAAAAAUCGGUAAAAAAGUUAAUUUUUAAAAAAAUAUAUAGCAAUAGUAAAAAUUUUGAAAAAAAAUUUUUAAGAAUUAGUUUCUGGAAGGAAAAAAGUUCCUCUUUACGAAAAAAAAGUCUGCUCAAUGUAGAAUGAAAGCAGAUAUCCAAUUUCAGCAUAUGAAAAUUUGAAUUUUUCGAGGAUAAUAAAUAGCGUUGUAAAAUAGAGAAACAUCAAUAAACCAACAAUUUUUUUUCAGCUUAAAGUUUUAACAAAUUAUUAUUUAAUACAUAGUAAAAACACAAAAUUUUCUUAUAAAAAUAGAAAAAGAACAGUUUAAAAGCAGUCGCGACAGCAAUUUAAACGAUGAUCAUUGCAAACGGUUGAUUCUUUUUAUCAUUUUUAUAUAAAUAAUAAAAACAUCUUUUUUUUUAUUAGUUAAUGUCCAAUCUUCUCAAUAUUUGCUGAAUGCUAAAUUUUAAUUGGUCUGCUUAAAGUCUUAAAGUAUUCUGGAUUUCUAAUGGAUCUCCAUUGUAGAUAUUCAAUUUAAAAUAUAUACAUAAUUAUGUUGUAAAAUGCAUGUACGUGUUCGAAAAUACUUAAUUAGCAAAACAAAUUUUUUUUCGAAGUUAUUUUUACUUACGUAAUCCCUACCUAUGGGUCGAAAACGUCCUAUUCGAAUUUUACCUGGCUGGCGUUUGGAAUAGAACAAACGGACCGGGCACUGGCCUUGGCACUGAAACCCUUCCCCUCCUAAGUUUUUUUUUUAGUACAACUUUGAUAGCGCUAGCAUCGCGGUUGCACGAAAAAUUAAGGAUAAUAGUUUUAAGUAGGACGAAAACUACCUAUAUAGAUAGGGAUUGAGGGAUAAGUAUGUUAAGUUUCAUUCAAAUCGGUGAGCGUCAGUUGGGUAGAGUUACUUGUCAGAUUUAUUGCUUUAAAUUAUUAACGAUGAUUCAAAUUCUGCUAAUUCCAAUUUCAAAUUUUGUAACUUCCUAGUCACACACGUCUGAGUUGGCUGAAACAAUUUGCGAACAAAGAUUUACAACAAUAUGGAAACAAAACACGUUAGAAUUAUUACAUUUCUUAGUGAAAAAUUUGACUGCGUUAAAUCAUAAAAUUAAAAUAUGAAAAACAUGCGAUAAAUAUAGAUAAAUUAAUUAUAUGUAUAACACUACAGGUGAUCAAAAUCAAAUGCAUCGAAACGUUUGUACACUUUGUAAGUUUUAGCAACAUAAAAUAUAUUAGCAAAUAAGACCUUAGCGUUGGCUUAAAAAACGUUUGAAUAAUUUAAUAAAAUAAAUAUUUUAUUUAUACCAUUAGUUUCAAAUAAAUAAUAUAUAAUAAAUAUAGGACUUGGUCAAGAAGUGUAAGAGCGAAUGAUCGUGUGGUGGUGAUAGUGCGUGGAUAGGAUAGAGUUAAGUAGGUAUUUAAAGAUUUAGAAUGAAAAAAUAGAAGUGAAUAGAUUUGUUUUUUAUUCCUGCACUGCUACACUAGUGUAAUAAGUUAGAAUGAGAAAAAAUAUAUUUGUCUUAUUCUAACUUAUUGCAGCAGUGCAGGAAUAAAAAACAGACCUAAUGAGAAGGGAGAACAAUAAAGUUGCUGGGGAAUUGAAGAAAAAGCGAUAGAAGCAGGAAGAAAGGAUAGUAGACGGGCAGAAAGAUCGCGGCUAGGGAGGUUAGGGGAUGCGAACGCGGGAAAAUGUCUACAGAAGGGAGAGAAGAAAAAAGAUAAAGGAGGAUAGAAAAGGGCUAAAGAAUCCGGAUAAGAGAGCAUUAAGUAAGGUAAAAAGAGAGUACAGGAAAGAGUGGAUUCAGAUCACAACCCCUAGGCGAUGAAAUUGAAAAGCAGAAAGAAAAGGAGGAAAGGACUGCAGAAAGAAGAUCAAGAAUAAGAGAGGACGAUGAAGCAGAGCAUAUACAAGGAAGAGCGAAAUAGACAAAUGAAGGAGACCCUGGAUAACGAAACAAUAGAAUUCUGGAAGAAAUUAUAGGAGACGAUCCAGAAAGCAACAAUAAAAAUAGGCGUACAAGAAAGAAAAGGAAUAGAUUACAAGGUCUGGUAAAAUAGAUGCUGUACAAAAGAGAAGAGGAAAAUGUAAGAUUUUAAAGAGGCGAAAGAAAGAGUUACGAGAGAGGAUCAAUUAGAAAAGAAGAGUAAACUAAAGAGCUUUCUGGACAAGAAGCAAGAUAAAAGAAAUGAAGGAAGGAGAGAAAAUAGAUUUUUAAGUCUGAAAAGGCAAUGAAAUUGUGAAAUACAUAACUAGGGAAA